GCCAAUUUAGCUCAGUUGGUAGAGCAUCUCCCUCGUAAAGAGAAGGUCGUUGGUUCGAUUCCAACAAUUGGCA
rnacentral:tRNA from 8 species